AAUCAACGCUGGCGGCGUGCCUCAGACAUGCAAGUCGAACGAGAAAGUUUCCUUCGGGGAAUGAGUAAAGUGGCGCACGGGUGAGUAACACGUAGGUAAUCUACCUUCGGGUGGGGAAUAACCCAGGGAAACUUAGGGCGUAACACCGCAUAAUGCAGCGGCGACCACAUGGUGACAGUUGUUAAAGCGGGGGAUUUUCGGACCUCGCGCCUGGAGAGGAGCCUGCGGCAGAUUAGCUAGUUGGUAAGGUAACGGCUUACCAAGGCGACGAUCUGUAGCCGGCCUGAGAGGGCGGUCGGCCACACUGACACUGACAUACGGGUCAGACUCCUACGGGAGGCAGCAGUCGGGAAUUUUGGGCAAUGGGCGAAAG
rnacentral:rRNA from 1 species